rnacentral:rRNA from 1 species
GAGUUUGAUCCUGGCUCAGAUUGAACGCUGGCGGCAUGCCUUACACAUGCAAGUCGAACGGCAGCACGGGAGCUUGCUCCUGGUGGCGAGUGGCGAACGGGUGAGUAAUGCAUCGGAACGUAUCCUGGAGUGGGGGAUAACGUAGCGAAAGUUACGCUAAUACCGCAUAUUCUGUGAGCAGGAAAGUGGGGGACCUUCGGGCCUCGCGCUCUUGGAGCGGCCGAUGUCGGAUUAGCUAGUUGGUGAGGUAAAGGCUCACCAAGGCGACGAUCCGUAGCAGGUCUGAGAGGAUGAUCUGCCACACUGGAACUGAGACACGGUCCAGACUCCUACGGGAGGCAGCAGUGGGGAAUUUUGGACAAUGGGGGCAACCCUGAUCCAGCCAUGCCGCGUGAGUGAAGAA